UUAUUACAUUUGCGCGUGAAAAUAUGGGUGAUAUCCCUAGAGAUGUCAUUUGUGCGUUCACGUGUCAGGAGAAAUAUGCACGUGCUGUUUGUACACAUUUUCGAAAACAUUCGCUCGUUUCUGAACGCGUGACCAUGUGCAUAAGAAUCAGAUUAAAAGCAAGCAUUUGGAAUGGCAACCGAUCGUGGACCCGUAUUUUUGAAAACAACAUUGCAACUGGAGAUUCGUCGGUCUCGAAAAAGGAAAAAAAAAAAAAAAGAAACGUUAACUCCGUCGAUAAAUCAGUGUAUUGAUUUUUGUUUUAUUUUCGUUUUAUUUUUCUCGAUAAAACGACUCUCGUGACACAUCCUAUAACUUUUGUACUUUCCGAUUGUUCGCUUUUGUAUCUCGAUUGUACCAAAUUUAAAGGAGAAGAA
rnacentral:lncRNA from 1 species